rnacentral:lncRNA from 1 species
GCAUACAUACGACGAUCUUCAUGCGUGAAUAGCCGGGAGGAAAGAAAGGGCGGUAGAUGAUAAUGAGAAAGGGCGCCGCGUCUGGACGGGCGGAAUGGAUGAGCGAAAGGUGUCAUGCCAUGGAGUGGGGAAUAGCCCUCGUCUCAUGUAAGACAACUAAAUGCACCUCGAGGUGCUGCCGAGGUCACGUUUAGACGGGCGGAAUGGAUGAGCGAUAGGUGUCAUGCCAUGGAGUGGGGAAUAGCCCUCGUCUCAUGUAAGACAACUAAAUGCAGCUCGAGGUGCAGCCGAGGAACUGAGGGACCUUCUCGAGCACA